UAUAUUCCCAGAUCACUUAAUUUGUGAUGGGGCCCUGCUCUCCUGGAGAUAGCUGAGCACCUGCCUACCUUUGGGAAGCAGUGAAUGAUUUCUUUGUUUUGCUUUGCUUGUAUGUAUGGCUUUUGCUUUCCCUAUUAAACUGUCUUUGUCUCAACCCCUGAGUUUUCUCACUUCCAAUUCUGUUCCUUAUCCUGCUGAUGGAGGUGUGAGUGAGUGGCUCCAUGGAAACUGGCUGCUGGCUGGGGUUAAAGCUUAUCCCCAGCCAAAACUGCUGCCAAUGGGGCAUUGGCCAGUGAUGUUUUCCCCAGGAAAAUUGCCCAGAAGGCUCAAAUUGUAGGAAUGUCCAAUGGCCCUGUGGGCACUGAGCAGCUCAACAGCAAACAUCCCUCCUGGGAUGCACAAGUGAAACAUUCUUCCCUCAUUCUUUUAAGGCCUGCCCUGUUGACGGUACACAGAGUUUGCCUGACAUGAAUAGCAGAAGGUUUUACAACGUGAAAGAGUGGCAGCCACUCUGGCAGGAAGAAGUACUGAAUAUGUGUGUCUUCUUUAAGGAGAAACCAGAAGGCUGAAGAUGCUUCACCUGAAAGACUUUUAUUUAUACUUCAUGAUCUGGAGUCAUGAUCUGGAGUUUGUUAAAGUGUUAUAAUACCAUGAAGGUCUUUUACAACUUCAUUGUCUGAAUUGCUAAAUGUUUAGGAGAAUAAAAAAAUUAUCUGUA